rnacentral:rRNA from 1 species
UAGGGAAUAUUGGUUAAUCUGCGAAAGCGGGAACCAGCAACGCCGCGUGAGUGAUGAAGGCCUUCGGGUCGUAAAGAACUUUUUAGAGGGAUGAGGAAGGACAGUACCUCUAGAAUAAGCCUCGGCUAACUACGUGCCAGCAGCCGCGGUAAAACGUAGGAGGCGAGCGUUAUCCGGAUUUACUGGGCGUAAAGCGCGUGCAGGCGGUUUGGAAAGUUGGGUGUGAAAGCUCCGGGCUUAACUGGGGAAGGUCGUUCAAGACUGCAAGACUAGAGAGUGGUAGAGGGGGGCAGAAUUCCGGGUGUAGGAGUGAAAUGCGUAGAGAUGCGGAGGAAUACCGGUGGCGAAGGCGGCCUUCUGGGACAUUUCUGACGCUCAGGCGCGAAAGCGUGGGGAGCAAACG